AACCCCAAUUUCCUUUUAUCUUUCAUUUCAUUACACAAAAACAUAAAACAAACCCUUUGUCUCCUUUAGUAAAACCCCACUCCAGAUGCAUUGUCAUCGGUCAUUUUUGGCAAGGGAUUCAUGUGUUUUCUUUCUCUCAGAAUUGGUUUCACCAUUUCGGGAAAAAGCAUUGAUGAGCUUUAGCGUUUUGCUUCAACAACGGAACGGUAACUUGCUAUCAAUGGAUUUUUCUUUCAAAUCUUUUGAUUUUCCCUUUUAUUUGUUCGGAUUUCAAACAAUUCCAACAAAUAGUGGAUUCAAAUCCACCCCACAUCAUUUUGAAAUGCAAUAACCCUAGCAUUUGGGGUUCUAUAAGUAGAACCACACUGCUUAAUAUUUGGACAUGGUUUUUGAGACUAAAAAUUGGUUUUUACACCAAUAGUGGGUUUUUCAAAACCCCAAGAGUGAGAACACUCAAAAACCCGGCUAAGCCAUGAGAUUCGAGGACGUUCCUGCAUAUGUUUAAUUUUUGGAAGUCGUUUCCAUUCGUCGGAAAUCGAUUUAGGUGAAAGGUAGUUUGUCGUCAACCCUCGUCGGCAUUGUCACUGCUCGACAAAAAGAUGCUUCAAUGAAGUGCUACAUAAUUGACACAUUUCUGUUUGCCUCAAAGAAGAUUGGCUCAUUUGUUUUGAGGACCAUAUUGGGGUCACUGCUAUUGUUUCAUUGUAAAAUGGUUGCUUUAUCUGGAAAUCUUGCCGCUGUCUUAUUCUAAAGAACAUCUGUGACAUUUGAGACACACUUUGGCGAUGUUACUGGACUUUCGAGCCAAAUGGUUGCUGCAUUUUGAGGGGGAAACAGACCCUACGUCCGAGUUGCUCCGACAUUUAGUACAAAUAAUUGUAACUUGAAUGUGGGAUAUUUUCCAAAUUUAAAGGCUGAAUUCCUACUGCAUUUUGGGGUGAACUGUUUCAGUUCCUUAAGCCAAAUGACUGCUGGUUCUGGCCAUUUCUUGCUGCUCUUUAAAGGUAGAUUGUUACUGCAAUUUUUGGCCUGAAUGUUGUGGAAUGUUGAGUACUUUGAGUUGAGUGUUGUCACCAAGUCAAUUGAUGCAUUUUUGGCCAAAUGUGUUGUACGUUUGACGCUGAAAAGAGCUGCAAUCGUGGGACAAUUUUUGGUUAGGUUGUUGCUCCAUGUUUAGUUGCCAUUUGAGCAUAGUGACUGGUUCGUCUUGAAAGAUUUGGCCGAGUUAUUUUUGAGAAAAUAACUAUACACCAUAGUUGGGUUGCUUUCGAGUAGGCGGAUUGAUCCUUUCUGAAGUCCCAUCUUCUGGUGGAAAUAGCCGCUGCUAUGAUUCUUGAUGCAUUAUUAUUUUUCCUUAAAAGAAACGGACUGCUACAUUUGAUAAAAUGACUAGUUUGAACACGAUACUGCACUUGGGCCAAUAAAAAAAAGAUUUUUUUGUGGCCAUUCCUUGUCCGGAAAGGUCAUCCCUCGGUUUAGGCAAUGAUGAUCUCACAGUGAUAUCACGAGGUUGGAACCAACAUGCUCUUGGCAAGGCAACUAGAAUGGCCACUAGUUUGCAACUGCGACAUGAUUCAGGUUCCUUUGACUUAUUUGGAACCGUGAGUCUGAGGCUCUGUAAUCAAAGCUCUCAAAGUUUGAUAGGAGUCCGAGGUAUAUUAUUAUUAUUUAUGUUCCUAAACGUCCCCAUACGGGGUGGUGUAUCAUUUUGACUAGCUACUUUCCUUUUCAUUGUGUGCGGUACCAAUAAAAUAAGAACAGAAAGAAAAGAUUAAGGACGAACUAAAAGGAUCGGAUGCUUAGAGCUUCGGACGAAGACUAGAAGAGUACGGGAUUUGGGCCCAAGGCCAACAAAGCUAAACUUUCUUCCCUUCUUUAUUUUGUAUAAAACAUGCUUAUUUUAUAUGUUUACAUUCACUUUGUAUGAAAAUGCUUUUUGUUGUAAAUAUUUGUAUAAAUAUUAAAACCCUUAUAAAUUGGAACCUAGGAUUCAGGUAGAUGAUAUUUCAAAUUGUACUCAACCAAUAAAAGAGUUGUAUUCCAUUUGAUUAAAGUAACUAAAAGUGAAAGAA